rnacentral:rRNA from 1 species
GACGAACGCUGGCGGCGUGCUUAACACAUGCAAGUCGAACGGAAAGGCCCCUUUGGGGGUACUCGAGUGGCGAACGGGUGAGUAACACGUGAGUAACCUGCCCUUGACUUCGGGAUAACUUCAGGAAACUGGGGCUAAUACCGGAUAGGAAUCCUUGCUGCAUGGUGGGGGUUGGAAAGCUUCGGCGGUUUUGAUGGACUCGCGGCUUAUCAGCUUGUUGGUGGGGUAGUGGCUUACCAAGGCUUUGACGGGUAGCCGGCCUGAGAGGGCGACCGGCCACAUUGGGACUGAGAUACGGCCCAGACUCCUACGGGAGGCAGCAGUGGGGAAUAUUGCACAAUGGGCGGAAGCCUGAUGCAGCAACGCCGCGUGCGGGAUGACGGCCUUCGGGUUGUAAACCGCUUUCAGCAGGGGCGAAGCUUGUGGUGACGGUACCUGCAGAAGAAGCACCGGCUAACUACGUG